rnacentral:lncRNA from 1 species
ACCUGAAGCUCGGCGUCCGUGAUGGUCUAGGGGGCUCCCGAGGCGAUCAGGCAGUGUCAGUCUUCAGCUGCUAAGCCGAGAAGAUCUGGGAAGGAGUCAGUCAGAGAGGCUUGGGCCAGAGUUCCAGGGAAGCUGGGAGUGGCUGCCAGGUGAGUUGAACAGUCCGAUUUUCAGUGGGGUCCCACACAGAUGGGACAUGGCUUAGGAGGAAUCCUAGGCUGCGGGCAUUCCUUGGCCCAGUGGCCAGAUUUCCGGCACAUGUAGCAAGCUCCUGUGGGAGGAGGUUCU